UCAGACAUGGUGUAACGGGAACACAACGUCUUAUUCUGGGAGUAAAGAGUGAAAUUGAGAGGCAGUCCAGGGUUUGACUCCCUGUGUCUGAA